UAACCGCAUAGCAAAACAUCGUUAUUACCAUAACGAAGAGGAAGUAACUGGUGUGCAUGAGGUGCAAGUUUAUUAAUGAGCGGUCAUCCUAAACAAAGAGAACAAACCAGAAACAUGGAAGCCCAGUUACUGAGGAUUUUAAUGCUGGGUUCCUGGAAUCAGGGUGCACAAUUUCCAGACUUGCCGCAACUUCAAUUCACACGGGAAUCGACAGCUAAACUAUUAACGCUGGAGCUUGUUAAGUGAAGACAGAGUGUUCCCGACACCACCCAUACCUUCCCUUCCUAAGGGGGUCCUAUGCCCGAAUCCCCCCGCCCCUGACAAGGCCCCAUAGUCUUUAACCCCUGCUCUUCUCUUUAUGUCCUCUUGCUCUGACAGCCCUCAGCUUGCAUGGCUGACAGCCCAAGCCUGUGUUCCUAACUCCUAACUCCUUCCUGGGCCUUUCCCCACUUGGACAAGCCCCUGGCUGGAAACGCUGAAGCCGGCCUUGACUCACUCCUCCUUGAUGUCCCACAGGCAAGCAGCCACCGGGCUCGGCCAGUUGUUGAGAUCCCAGCCAGGCCCCCACUCCUGUUCCUUCUCACAGCUCCAGGCCUCAGGCGCCAUCCCAUUUACACACAUCAGUUGGGCAGACAAGUCUUCCUGACACACUGCUCUACAAAUUCCCUAGAGCCCAAACUCAGGCAGUGAUGGCCUCGUCCGAGGAGAAAGUCUAAACACCUCAGCGAGGCACAAAGGGCCUUCUGGAGCCUGGCCCCUGCCCACCAUACAGCCUGAUCCCCAUUGCUGCAGGCCCCUGGUAUACCACUGUCCACAACUUGAUAAAAAUGCGGCAUAAGGAAAGAGAAGGACGGACCGGGCAAAAAGAAAAAUCCACCUGGCAUAUACGGACAGAAGAAAAGAGGAUUUACAAAAAUUCAGUGCAGUCUGUUAAAGGUGGGCUCAAGUCAGAGCAGCAAACUAAACUAGCAAAUCAUCCACUAGUCCAUAGUACAGUGCCUUCUGCCCAUUUCCUCCUUACAAAGUAAAAUCCUACACAGGCAUCAAUAACUAGCCAGAGUCAUCUCCUCCUAUUGACUUCUGCCUUUCUGGAUUCUGAACUAUUUAUUGCUCAGACUGACACUAACCCAAUACGCUUCAGUGAGUGGCUGCGUGGAUGAGUAAGACUGAACCAGCCUCUGCUGUAGCCCCAGGUUAGGCACACAGCAGUGCUCAAUAAAUAACUGCUGUUGAACAAAGUGGGAAACAGAACAGAAGCAAUUUUCUUAACCCAAUGGGCGGCAUGUUUUUCCAAGUCUCCAGCACUCCACCUGGUCUCCCAACCCAGCUGGACAGCUAGAAUGGCAGGGGCUAAGCUAACCCAAGGAGGUAAACAGGGCCUGCUCUAACAGUUCCUGGACACACACACACAUACACACCAACUGUCCUCACUUACAUCUGGAACAAUAACUGUAAGCUUGGGAUUUAAAGCAUGAUAGACUUUUCCAAUGGCCCCCUUGUAACACCAGAAAGGAUUGUAGUCUUGAGCAUAUUUUGUGUUGGCAUCUCUGGCAGUUGUGAAGAUCUUGUACCAGAGCGUGGCGUUGCUGUAGGUGUCA